rnacentral:lncRNA from 1 species
ACUACAGAUAAGGGAAGGGAUAAAUGUGAACGAGCAAUAACUAUAUAAACAACACAAAACCAGUGACACAGCAGCCCUUCCUAUGAGCAUAAAGCAAAAUUGAAACCAAACCCAUCCUGGCAUUGAAGAAAAUAUAACCCCAAUUAAGAAAUGCUAAUUAUUUGUCUCACUAUAUUCCCAGCACUUCAGUGGCGGUGAAGUCCAGGACCUCUACUCUGUGGGUAAUUGGAACCCGUGGAGCAGGAGCACUGGAGAGUCCCUUGAUGACUGUUGGAACUGAAGGAGCGGACCGAGAAGCCUCAGGAUUGUUGUCUGGGCAGAUGUUUCACUUCCACUGUGCGCUGUGAAACCAUUUGGUGACUCGUUUCUUCCCAGACUUUAUUCCAGCUGGAAGCUGGAAUUCUUCUGGAGCCUUGACAUCACAGAUGUGGUGUCUUGCAGGAAUUAGAAUACCUGCUUCUCCAUGUUCGGCUUGAAUCAACAUCUUAUCAGGUAAGUCAAUAGUUAUAUUGAAUUGUUGCAACAGAUUUAUUCCUAAUAUGCCUGUACCAUCCAA